AUGUCGGGGGCCUUUGCUGAUCUGCCACGCAGUGUGACCAACACUGUGGAGUUCUUCCGAGCUGAAGAAGGGAGCUCUGCAGAGAAGUUGUUCUGGUCUCAAUAUUGCACGCCAGAACAUUCGGUGCCCUUCAGCGAUCAGCUGAAACAGCUGGUCGAGCUACAUAGGGUGGCCGAACUAGCCAUGAAGGAUAUGAUAGUCGGGCUGUGGCCAGACGAAGCUAUUCCCAGCAGCUACUUCGGCCUCGUGAAGAAGCUAGUGGAUGUCUGUCCUCGACUGGAUGUCAUCAAGCGGUCCGUCUGCAUCGAGGGCGCGCGUCUGGCCUUCUCUUAUUGCAAGGUCUGGUGGGCGAAGCUGGACGCUGUCAAGCUGGCGACCGGGGCCCGCCGGAGGGCAAGGAUACCACACACCUGA
rnacentral:rRNA from 1 species